rnacentral:rRNA from 1 species
ACGAACGCUGGCGGCGUGCUUCACACAUGCCAGUCGAACGGAAAGGCCCUGCUUGCAGGGUCCUCGAGUGGCGAACGGGUGAGUAACACGUGGGUGAUCUGCCCUGCACUUCGGGAUAAGCCUGGGAAACUGGGUCUAAUACCGGAUAGGAGCCAUUUUUAGUGUGAUGGUUGGAAAGUUUUUUCGGUGUAGGAUGAGCUCGCGGCCUAUCAGCUUGUUGGUGGGGUAAUGGCCUACCAAGGCGGCGACGGGUAGCCGGCCUGAGAGGGUGGACGGCCACAUUGGGACUGAGAUACGGCCCAGACUCCUACGGGAGGCAGCAGUGGGGAAUAUUGCACAAUGGGCGCAAGCCUGAUGCAGCGACGCCGCGUGGGGGAUGACGGCCUUCGGGUUGUAAACGCCUUUCGCUAGGGACGAAGCUUUUUGUGACGGUACCUAGAUAAGAAGCACCGGCUAACUACGUG